rnacentral:lncRNA from 1 species
AACUUAAGGGUCGGGGGGGAAGUGGCGGGUGCGGAGAGGAGGCGUGGAGAGUGUGAGGAAGAAGAGAGGCACUCUGAGAAGAAGUCGAACAACUAACCCCUCAUUUGGCCUGGUUUGGGUGAGAAGAUUGAGUCACUUGGGGAAAAAAAUAUUGGAGAAGUCAGAGAAGGUGUAAAUCAGUGGUGCCACAAACACCAGUUUACUUCCACUUUUCACCCCCCGGGUCUGUUUUGUCUGCGUGCAGCUCUCCUCGUGUCGGAGACGCUGAGUCAGUUCUCUACUGGUCUUGCCCUCUUCCGGAAAAAGAAAACACACCUGAGAAGUGGUAGUUCCUAUCCUAACCUACUGGGGCCCUUUAUACCAGGUGCCAAACUUCAUUAUCCACCCCACCACCUUGCCCGGGAGGGAGAUCUGUGAAAGCGAAACGUGAUUUAAGCUGGGAUCUGGCAGCAACUUCGUGGACUCUGAAGGGCACGUGGGAAAGGAGUUUUGAUUGAAGGUGAGGGAUUUAGUGAGGUAAAAUUAUAUCCAAAUUAGAGUUUGGUAAAGGCUUCCAGGUUAAUGUCCUGUUAACGCUUAUCCUGAUUUGUGGAGGACACUUAAGCUGUCUAGGCCUAACCUUGUGUUUGAUCACUCACCUUAAUUUGUAGACAUUCUAGGAGCUCUUUGUCAAUGCCUCUUACCAUUUUUAUCAUUAACUAUUUAUGCUUAUAGAAGCAGGAAAAAUAAAUUGUGGGAGCCUUCAUCUGCAA